rnacentral:rRNA from 1 species
UCGGGAAUUUUGGGCAAUGGGCGAAAGCCUGACCCAGCAACGCCGCGUGAGGGAUGAAGUAUUUCGGUAUGUAAACCUCGAAAGAAUGGGAAGAAUAAAUGACGGUACCAUUUAUAAGCUCCGGCUAACUACGUGCCAGCAGCCGCGGUAAUACGUAGGGAGCAAGCGUUGUUCGGAUUUACUGGGCGUAAAGGGCGCGUAGGCGGCGCGGUAAGUCACUUGUGAAAUCUCUGAGCUUAACUCAGAACGGCCAAGUGAUACUGCUGUGCUAGAGUGCGGAAGAGGCAACCGGAAUUCUUGGUGUAGCGGUGAAAUGCGUAGAUAUCAAGAGGAACACCUGUGGCGAAGGCGGGUUGCUGGGCCGACACUGACGCUGAUGCGCGAAGGCCAGGGGAGCAAACG